GGCGUCGGCGGGGCGGGCGGCGGGCGCGGGGCAGCGGCGGCAGCAGCAGCAGCAGCAGCAGCAGCGGGGGCCGGCGCACCACGGCGGAGCCACGUCGGGGCGGGAUGCCGCGGCGGCGGCCAGAGUCCCGGCGCUGCCCGGCGGCGGGCGGCAGUGCCCGAGGGCUGGCAGGGGUAGCGCCACACUCUCUCCUGCCACCGUGCGUGCGUGUUUGCAAGCGGCUGCCGCUCCUCCUGGCUGCUGCUGCUGCUGCUUCCAGACCCACUUUCUCGCCCCCUCGCUCUGUGUCGGGAGAGGACACCCCACGGCUGCACCCGCACCCCUUCCCACACACGGCUGCACCUUGCAUCCCGACUGCAUCUCUGCUCGGCUGGGAUGGAUCUGCCCUGGAGUGAGCGACUCAUCCCUUCCAGCUGGUCUGUGCGUCCCUAGCGGGACUCCACCGGGUUUGGCACUCCUUACUCUUCCUCUGGGUUGCUGACCUGUGUCAGUACUCUGGAAAAACCUUUCUCUCUCUGAUGGGAGGCCCUCAAAUUUAAAAGUAAUGUGGACUUGAGAAUGUGUGAAAAUGAGGGUUGGAUUUUCACUUGCUACAAGUCAAUAUCUCAGUGUCCAGUCUGAGGGAGCUGGACCUCUUUGUGGGUGCUCAAGGUGCAGCUCAAGAACAAACACAGCUCAAAUCAACUUGAAGCAUAAAUAAAGCCACCUAACCAAAAAUGGGA